rnacentral:tRNA from 1 species
GGGAAUGUGGCUUAGUGGUAGAGUGCUUGCUUAGCAUGCAUGAAGCCCUGGGUUCGAUUCCUCAGAACCA